rnacentral:rRNA from 1 species
AGGGAUGCAAAACUGCGAAGUGGAGCGAACCCCCAAAAGCCGUCUCAGUUCGGAUCGCAGGCUGCAACCCGCCUGCGUGAAGUCGGAAUCGCUAGUAAUCGCGGAUCAGCAUGCCGCGGUGAAUACGUUCCCGGGCCUUGUACACACCGCCCGUCACACCAUGAGAGUCGGGAACACCCGAAGCCCGUAGCCUAACUUGCAAGAGAGGGCGCGGUCGAAGGUGGGUUCGAUAAUUGGGGUGAAGUCGUAACAAGGUAUC